GCAAGUAUUUGUCCGCGUUUUUACAAGCGAUUCGUCAUCAAUCACGCCAUCCUGGCUAGUACAACCGGCACUUUGUACCUACCAAAACCUGAUAAAAACUUCCGGUUGUACUAGCCAGGAUGGCGUGAGCGAGUUAAAAUUUUCGUGGACGUAAAACAAUAAGGGAACCGACUCGAGUUACACUUCUGCUGUACCUUCUUAUUCUUGUGAU